rnacentral:rRNA from 1 species
UGGGGAAUCAUGGUCAAUGGGCGAAAGCCUGAACCUGCGACGCCGCGUGAGUGAUGAAGGUCGUAAGAUCGUAAAACUCUUUUCAGGGAUCUUAACGCACAGCUGUCAACAACAGCUGUGUCUGACUCUCCCUGGAAGAAGCCCCAGCCAACUACGUGCCAGCAGCUGCGGUAAUACGUAGGGGGCGGGCCUGAUUCGGAAUUACUGGGUGUAAAGGGUAUGUAGGCGGCCCUUCAAGUCGCGUGUCAAAGUCCGGGGCUGAACGCGGGGUGUGCGGGCGAGACUGACGGGCUUGAGGGCUGGAGAGGUGAGCGGAAUUCCCGGUGUAGUGGUAAAAUGCGUAGAGAUCGGGAGGAACACCAGCGGCGCAGGCGGCUCACUAGACAGUUUCUGACGCUAAGAUACGAAAGCGUGGGGAGCAAACA